rnacentral:tRNA from 1 species
GGAAUGAUGGCGUAGUUGGUUAUCGCAUUCGUCUUACACACGAAAGGUCCUCAGUUCGAACCUGUGUCAUUUCA